rnacentral:rRNA from 1 species
AUUGAACGCUGGCGGCAUGCCUUACACAUGCAAGUCGAACGGCAGCGGGCCUUCGGGUGCCGGCGAGUGGCGAACGGGUGAGUAAUGCAUCGGAACGUGCCAUUGAGUGGGGGAUAACGUAGCGAAAGUUACGCUAAUACCGCAUAUUCUGUGAGCAGGAAAGCAGGGGACCGCAAGGCCUUGCGCUCUUUGAGCGGCCGAUGUCAGAUUAGCUAGUUGGUGAGGUAAAGGCUUACCAGGCGACGAUCUGUAGCGGGUCUGAGAGGAUGAUCCGCCACACUGGAACUGAGACACGGUCCAGACUCCUACGGGAGGCAGCAGUGGGGAAUUUUGGACAAUGGGCGCAAGCCUGAUCCAGCCAUGCCGCGUGAGUGAAGAAGGCCUCGG